rnacentral:tRNA from 1 species
GGGGCUGUCGGCUAGCAUGGUCUAGGCUUGGAGACUUGGGCUCAUGCGGGAAGGACCCCGGUUCAAAUCCGGGCAGCCCCA